GAAGCUGACCAGACAGUCGCCGCUUCGUCGUCGUCCUCUUCGGGGGAGACGGGCGGAGGGGAGGAAAGUCCGGGCUCCAUAGGGCAGGGUGCCAGGUAACGCCUGGGGGAAACCCACGACCAGUGCAACAGAGAGCAAACCGCCGAUGGCCCGCGUAAGCGGGAUCAGGUAAGGGUGAAAGGGUGCGGUAAGAGCGCACCGCGCGGCUGGUAACAGUCCGUGGCACGGUAAACUCCACCCGGAGCAAGGCCAAAUAGGGGUUCAUAAGGUACGGCCCGUACUGAACCCGGGUAGGCUGCUUGAGCCAGUGAGCGAUUGCUGGCCUAGAUGAAUGACUGUCCACGACAGAACCCGGCUUAUCGGUCAGUUUCACCU
rnacentral:RNase_P_RNA from 1 species